UUAGUGGGUGACAUUGGUGUUAGGGUGAUGGUUGGACCAGAUGACCUUGGAGGUCUUUUCCAACCUGAAUGAUUCUAUGAUUCUAUGAAAACCUAAUGAAACAUUGAAAUGUGAGUUAGUCUCAUGAAUGAUGAAUUGUGAACCACUCAUCAUUUGUAUUUGAAUGUCCCGUUCACUUCAGCAAAUAAUAACAAUGGGUCCGUAACUAUGUAUUUUGUAAACAUACAAUUCUAUAAUAUAGUUACAGCAUUUGUUAGCACAUCCUUCAUUGUGCUGAAACAGCUUGUACCUCAAUGGGACUUCAUAUGUUAGGGGAAAAGCUGUGUAAUAGGUGGUCUUUCUGAGCUGUUCACUUUGAAUUCAAAGUCCCAGUAUAGCAGCCUCAAUGACAUCAGUUCCUGGUCUCAGUUCUGUCCUUACCAGACUGAUUGCCACAUAGGAAAUCAACUCUCACAUCAACUAAACAAUGUGACUGUUCAGUUUUUGUAAACAGAUGGAGAGCGACACUAAGGCUGUAGAAGGAUGACGUCUAAGACCACAGCCUGCUGGUGUGGGAUCUGAGUAUGUUUAGACUUCCCGACAGACAUCAGAUCAGCAGAGUGAAUGUCAUCACAGCUUCUGAAGAAGCUAUACUGAUAAACAGGAAAGAGAAGGAGAGAGUGAGGAAAGGAGGUGAACCUGAAAGUUCCCUCUGCAGACAAGAUUUGAUUAAUAUUUAUUUGUACAAGGAAAAUAAAUAAAAAAUCAGAUGGUGUCACUUUGACUUUAUCAUGGAAAAUCACCAGGGAGUGACAUGGCAAAUAUAUUUGUAUAUUGAUGCCACCAAGGCAUUUUAAACAGGCCUUCCCAUGAUGCUAUCAAAGAUUUUAAUAAGGUCCUGAUGAAGAACCUUUAGCUCCCAGAUGACCUGCAUUUUUCUACACAGACGCUUUUGCCACAUUGUAUGUUUGCUAUUAAAGUUCAUUUUGUCUUGGAACCACACAUUUUAAUGACACAUAAAAAAAGCAUUGUGCACCUGUAGUAUAAAUACAGCACUCUGUAAAAGAUUUCCCCAUUAGGUAUCAUUUUGUCAGCCAAUUCUAUCAAAUUACCUGCACAAUAAAACCAUUGUAGUGGGAGGAAAUAGAUGACUG
rnacentral:lncRNA from 1 species